rnacentral:lncRNA from 12 species
UAAAGCAGAGAGAAAGUUCAACACCAGUUAACAUCAACAACAAAUUAACAACGACAAAGAAAAAAGUACAGAUGGACAAACACUAGUUACUUACCCAAAGGGGAUCUGGUGGGAAAGACCAUUCCUGUUGGCACUCUUUGAUCUUAAUACCUCCUGUAAACCAGUGCAACAGGAACAUCUGUC